rnacentral:rRNA from 1 species
UACGUAGGUGGCAAGCGUUGUCCGGAUUUACUGGGCGUAAAGGGCGUGCAGGCGGUCUGUUAAGUGCAGGGUGAAAGCUCCCGGCUCAACUGGGAGAGGUCCUUGCAUACUGGCGGACUUGAGGGGGGUAGAGGAAAGUGGAAUUCCCGGUGUAGUGGUGAUAUGCGUAGAUAUCGGGAGGAACACCUGUGGCGAAGGCGGCUUUCUGGGCCUUACCUGACGCUGAGACGCGAAAGCGUGGGGAGCGAACCGG